rnacentral:rRNA from 1 species
GGAUCCCAUCAGAACUCCGAAGUUAAGCGUGCUUGGGCGAGAGUAGUACUAGGAUGAGUGACCUCCUGGGAAGUCCUCAUGUUGCAUCCCC